GAUGAAUGCUGGCGGCGUGCCUAACACAUGCAAGUCGAGCGGCAGCGCGGUCUUCGGACUGGCGGCGAGCGGCGGACGGCUGAGUAACGCGUGGGAACGUGCCCCAAAGUGAGGAAUAACUGCCCGAAAGGGUGGCUAAUGCCGCAUAUGGUCUUCGGAUUAAAGUAUUUAUACGCUUUGGGAGCGGCCCGCGUCGGAUUAGGUAGUUGGUAGGGUAAUGGCCUACCAAGCCGACGAUCCGUAGCUGGUCUGAGAGGAUGAUCAGCCAGACUGGAACUGAGACACGGUCCAGACUCCUACGGGAGGCAGCAGUGAGGAAUCUUCCACAAUGGGCGAAAGCCUGAUGGAGCAACGCCGCGUGCAGGAUGAAGGCCUUCGGGUCGUAAACUGCUUUUAUAAGUGAAGAAUAUGACGGUAACUUAUGAAUAAGCACCGGCUAACUACGUGCCAGCAGCCGCCGUAA
rnacentral:rRNA from 1 species